rnacentral:rRNA from 1 species
GGGCUUACGAGUGCGGGUCUCGUGGCCACCUCCCACCCGUGUUGACCGACACCUGUUGCUUCGGCGGGCCCGCCAGGGCUCCCGCCCGGCCGCCGGGGGGCCUCGUCGCCCCCGGGCCCGCGCCCGCCGAAGACCCCUCGAACGCUGCCUUGAAGGUUGCCGUCUGAGUAUAAAAUCAAUCGUUAAAACUUUCAACAACGGAUCUCUUGGUUCCGGCAUCGAUGAAGAACGCAGCGAAAUGCGAUAAGUAAUGUGAAUUGCAGAAUUCCGUGAAUCAUCGAAUCUUUGAACGCACAUUGCGCCCCCUGGCAUUCCGGGGGGCAUGCCUGUCCGAGCGUCAUUGCUAACCCUCCAGCCCGGCUGGUGUGUUGGGCCGCCGUCCCCUCCGGGGGACGGGCCCGAAAGGCAGCGGCGGCGCCGCGUCCGGUCCUCGAGCGUAUGGGGCUUUGUCACACGCUCUGGUAGGCCCGGCCGGCUUGCUGGCCAACGACCUCACGGUCACCUAACUUCUCUCUGAGGUUGACCUCGGAUCAGGUAGGGAUACCCGCUGAACUUAAGCAACGUAA